AAGACUCUGCUUUCAAUUUCUUUGGAGAAAUACCCAGUAGUGGGAUUGUUGGAUUGAGGAUUCCGACUCCUAUCUUGUGGGCUUCGACCAGCAAAGCCCACGGUGGCAGAAAUAAUUACUCCAGACUACGGAUCAGUCAAGAGAGCUGAAAGCACUCUCGCUGAGUGGGGAGCCAGGUGGCAGGAUUACGUGCAGACCUGCUCUCCUGCUAAGUGCAAAUACCGCAUCCUUGUAGAGGGGAGAGAAACGCGGCCGUCGCCCUCCAUUUCCAGUCACUUGCGCUCUUCGAAAGCCUACAAGAAGAUCGGAGUGAAGCAGCAAACGAUGUUAAGUUGAAACCAAAAGAAAGGAAUGAAGGUAAUAGCACCAACUGUGCAAACUUACUUGUAAAUCCCAGCAAGUCACUCAGUGCUGUGGGCUGGAUCUGGCAGCCGCUGGAUUCUUUCCUCGAUCCCUGUUCUCCGGAGCAGGGCCUCUUCCACCGUGGAAUGCCUAAGAAUCCAGGUGCUGCCAAGCAAAUGCUGUGGGAUUUGGAGGUGUGGGGAGGAAAAGUCUAGGUGGACGAGGAAGGAAGGGAGCUGUGUGUGUGUUGAGAGAAGCCGAAACCUGGUGGGGAAACCUGCCUGUUUUCUUGCUUCUUGCUCCUUUGGCUGUUGGUGCCAGGUGGUAAAUAAAGCUGGUAUCGGGAACUGUC